rnacentral:rRNA from 1 species
AUUGAACGCUAGCGGGAUGCUUUACACAUGCAAGUCGACCGAGUGGCAGACGGGUGCGUAAUAUAUCGGCACGUGCCCAGUAGCGGGGGAUAACUACUCGAAAGAGUGGCUACUACCGCAUACUCUUGGAGCGGCCGCUACCGGAUUAGCUCGUGGGAGGGGGAAAAGCUCACCAAGGCAACGAUCCGUAGAUGGUUUGGGAGGACGACAAGGCAGACUGGGACGGUGAAACGGCCCAGAUGCGUACGGGAGGCAGCAGUGGGGAAUUGUGGACAAUGGGGGAAACCCUGAGCCAGCCAUCCCGCGUGUAUGAGAAGGCCUUCGGGGUGUAAAGUACUUUGGGCAGAGAAGCGGUAUCUGCAGAAUAAGCACCGGCUAACUACGUGCCAGCAGCCGCGGUAAUUC